CCCGGGUUUGUUUAGAGUUUGCUCUCCUAGGUGAAUUGCCUACCACGGCUAACGAGCCUCACCUGCCCGGGUUUGUUUAGAGUUUGCUCUCCUAGGUGAAUUGCCUCCCACGGCUAACGACCUCCACCUGCCCGGGUUUAUUGUUCGGAGUUUGCUCUCCUAGGUGAAUUGCCUACCACGGCUAACGACCUCCACCUGCCCGGGUUUAUUGUUCGGAGUUUGCUCUCCUAGGUGAAUUGCCUACCACGGCUAACGACCUCCACCUGCCCAGGUUUAUUGUUCG